GGGUCGUUUCUAAGAGGUCUGGGGUGUGAAACCAAGAACUCCUAACAUGAUGACCAAAGACUGAAGUUCUGCAUGGGUGCCCCCGUCACUCAACAGUGCUGUGUGGAGAUGUAAGA
rnacentral:snoRNA from 1 species